UACAGAGGGUGCAAGCGUUAAUCGGAAUUACUGGGCGUAAAGCGUGCGUAGACGGUUACAUAAGUCGGGUGUGAAAGCCCCGGGCUCAACCUGGGAAUUGCAUUCGAGACUGCGUAGCUAGGGUGCGGAAGAGGGAAGCGGAAUUUCCGGUGUAGCGGUGAAAUGCGUAGAUAUCAGGAGGAAUACCGAUGGCGAAGGCAGGUCUCUGGGCUGACACUGACGCUGAGUGAGCGAAAGCCAGGGGAGCAAACGGG
rnacentral:rRNA from 1 species